GCGGCCAUGGCGGAAUUGGCAGACGCGCAAGAUUAAGGAUCUUGUGAUCGUUGAGAUCGUGGAGGUUCGAAUCCUCUUGGCCGCA
rnacentral:tRNA from 1 species